rnacentral:rRNA from 1 species
UCCGUAGGUGAACCUGCGGAACUUCCGUAGGUGAACCUGCGGAGGGAUCAUUACACAAAUAUGAAGGCGGGCUGGAACCUCUCGGGGUUACAGCCUUGCUGAAUUAUUCACCCUUGUCUUUUGCGUACUUCUUGUUUCCUUGGUGGGUUCGCCCACCACUAGGACAAACAUAAACCUUUUGUAAUUGCAAUCAGCGUCAGUAACAAAUUAAUAAUUACAACUUUCAACAACGGAUCUCUUGGUUCUGGCAUCGAUGAAGAACGCAGCGAAAUGCGAUAAGUAGUGUGAAUUGCAGAAUUCAGUGAAUCAUCGAAUCUUUGAACGCACAUUGCGCCCUUUGGUAUUCCAAAGGGCAUGCCUGUUCGAGCGUCAUUUGUACCCUCAAGCUUUGCUUGGUGUUGGGCGUCUUGUCUCUAGCUUUGCUGGAGACUCGCCUUAAAGUAAUUGGCAGCCGGCCUACUGGUUUCGGAGCGCAGCACAAGUCGCACUCUCUAUCAGCAAAGGUCUAGCAUCCAUUAAGCCUUUUUUUCAACUUUUGACCUCGGAUCAGGUAGGGMUACCCGCWGAACUUAAGCAUAUCAAUAAGCGGAGGAA